UGCGAAUGGCUCAUUAAAUCAGUUAUCGUUUAUUUGAUAGUACCUUACCACUUGGAUAACCGUGGUAAUUCUAGAGCUAAUACAUGCUAAAAACCCCGACUUCUGAAGGGGUGUGUUUAUUAGAUAAAAAACCAAUGCCCUUCGGGGCUCUUUGGUGAUUCAUGAUAACCUAACGGAUCGCAUGGCCUUGCGCCGGCGACGGUUCAUUCAAAUUUCUGCCCUAUCAACUUUCGAUGGUAAGGUAUUGGCUUACCAUGGUUUCAACGGGUAACGGGGAAUUAGGGUUCGAUUCCGGAGAGGGAGCCUGAGAAACGGCUACCACAUCCAAGGAAGGCAGCAGGCGCGCAAAUUACCCAAUCCCGACACGGGGAGGUAGUGACAAUAAAUACUGAUACAGGGCUCUUUAGGGUCUUGUAAUUGGAAUGAGUACAAUUUAAACCCCUUAACGAGGAACAAUUGGAGGGCAAGUCUGGUGCCAGCAGCCGCGGUAAUUCCAGCUCCAAUAGCGUAUAUUAAAGUUGUUGCAGUUAAAAAGCUCGUAGUUGAAACUUGGGUCUGGCUAGCGGGUCCGCCUCACCGCGUGCACUUGUCCGGCUGGACCUUUCCUUCUGGAGAACCUCAUGCCCUUCACUGGGUGUGUUGGGGAACCAGGACUUUUACUUUGAAAAAAUUAGAGUGUUCAAAGCAGGCCUUUGCUCGAAUACGUUAGCAUGGAAUAAUAGAAUAGGACGUGCGGUCCUAUUUUGUUGGUUUCUAGGAUCGCCGUAAUGAUUAAUAGGGAUAGUCGGGGGCAUCAGUAUUCAAUUGUCAGAGGUGAAAUUCUUGGAUUUAUUGAAGACUAACUACUGCGAAAGCAUUUGCCAAGGAUGUUUUCAUUAAUCAGUGAACGAAAGUUAGGGGAUCGAAGACGAUCAGAUACCG
rnacentral:rRNA from 1 species